UACGUAGGGCGCAAGCGUUAUCCGGAAUUAUUGGGCGUAAAGAGCUCGUAGGCGGUUUGUCGCGUCUGCUGUGAAAUCCCGAGGCUCAACCUCGGGCCUGCAGUGGGUACGGGCAGACUAGAGUGCGGUAGGGGAGAUUGGAAUUCCUGGUGUAGCGGUGGAAUGCGCAGAUAUCAGGAGGAACACCGAUGGCGAAGGCAGAUCUCUGGGCCGUAACUGACGCUGAGGAGCGAAAGCGUGGGAGCGAACAGG
rnacentral:rRNA from 1 species